ACAAUGCUAAGGAUUAACUUAUUAUAUUAAACAACUGGGUUACUUUAUAUUUGUUGAGGUUACACACUAAAGUAAAAUGAAAGUUGAGAAAUGGAUAUAUGAAUGGAAAUAAAUAAAAUAUGCAAAAUACAACAAUAAUAACAAUGUGCUGUCAAUUGAUUGCUUGCCAGCAAAGUAACUGCGUACAAAAUAAUGUUACAAUUAAACAUCCAUAUGAAUAUGUAUAUAUAUAUAUAUAUAUAUAUAUAUAUGUAUAUCUAUAAAAUAAUGCUAUACAUUAAACAUAAUAAAUAUUUAUAUUUUUAUACAACUAAAUAAUUAAACCUAAAACUAUAUUACGUACUUGACAUAGAAAUAAAAUUUCAAACAAAUAAAAGCUGCAACAAAAGCAGACGAUUAUUUACACCUUGUACUUUAAAGCUACAUAUAUUAUUUUGUAUAAGAAAAAAUUAAUUUUUUUUUCGUAUUUUAAUUUUUUAUGCACCACUUUUCAUAUACUAUAUGAAAAAAUAAAAGUAAACUGAUUAAUUAAAAAUUAAUAUAAAUAAGGUUAAUAAAUCAAUUUAAAUAAAAAAAUUAAAAUUAAACAAUUAAAUUAAUUAAAAGUACAUUAAUAUUGUUUGUAUGUAUACAAAUCACUGCGCGCGCAUGCGCUAAGCCUCCAAGCGCUCACAAAUAUAAAACAAAAUUUGUUUGAGACCGUUAGUAACGGCAGCAUACUGCUUCUUUCUCCACGUUGCUGUGCUCUAAUGCCGAUUUAUCAAGCAACUUUGUAUACAUACAUACAUACAUACAUAUAUACAUGAUUUCAGCCGAUUAUGUAAUAGUAUAUACUCGUAUAUAAAUAUAGUUUAUAAUUAGCGAUGCUUUCAAUUCUACUUGUAGACGCGAUUGAGCUUUUAUAAUUUAUUGGGAUAUUAGAUUUAGUAACAUGUUUGUAAAAAUAGAUUCAUUCUAGAAACUCAUUCAUUCUAGGCACACAUAUCUAAUGGCUUAAGCCUCUUUCUUAUUUCUACUACUUUAUUUUUAUAUUCUAGGCAUAUACAAAAAUAUAUUUUUGUUUUUAAACUGUUGUGUCUUGUUGUCAUUUAUACCCGGUUUUGUGGCUCAAACCAAAUUUAUGAAUGGCAACAAGCUACUUGUUAGCUCUAAAUUUUAAUUAUUACUAAAUUUUACUUUUUUUAAUUCAUUUAAUUACCACAUUUUUUUCAAAAUUUUACACUGCACGGAAUGAACAGAAUUUGACACAAAAUGUUUGACUUUGCCUUUGACGAAAAGAAGUGAAACAAAUGCAUACUUCGUUGAAAUCCAUUGGAUACUGCAGAUAAUUUACGGUCGUUCUGUGAUCGGGUGGAAAAGAAUGUUGUAAGAAAUGAAAAGAUCUACAACUUUUAUAUUUACACCGUUUUCACAUAACCUCAAAUUUGUGUGAAAAGUUCAAAUAUUUAAGUUUUUUGGAGAAAGAUUUGCUUUCAGAAAAUUUAAUGUAAAUUUAACUUCUUAUGCUCAAAACACACUGUAUUUUUUUAAAUACUGAGAAGGAAACUUAAUUUCGACUAAAGGGGCUAUACCAGUGUGACGCAUGAAAAAUUAGGGGAUUUUCGUGAAUUUUUUUAAAAGAAAGUACUAGAUUGAAUGUUUCGACGUUCUAUGGACGUAAUAUAUUAUAUUUUUAGCUAUAUUAAAAAAUAUAACGGAGUUAUGUGCUAUCUGCGGAAGUGCCGAAAAAAAGUGCCUCAACUGCUGGCAUGCUUCCGGUCGAAUGAGUAGCUGAAACAAAAAAAUUCAAAAUGUUUAUUAAACUUAAAUAUAUUUCUAUACAAUGAACUACGAUCUUUGGAAAAUAUCAAAAAUUAAGAAAAUGGCGUAAUUUUGAAAAAAAAAAAAUCGUUUUUUUACGAAAAAAAUGGUUGUUUUUUUAAUGCCAAAUUGACAAUUUUCAACCAAUCAAAAAGAUUGUAGUCCAUUGUAUAGCAAAUAUAUUCAACUAUUUUUUUUUUGAAGUCGAUCGGUCAAUUUUUCGUUGAGUUAUGAUGUCAGCAAUUUUGAAAAAUGUCGUUUCGUGAAAAACGCGUUUAAAGUUUCACUUAUAUAUGUAUAUAUGUUUGCACCUCUGAGCGGUCGCUAUUUAGAACGCUGCCAUUCAAAAACUAUAGAAGAUACGACCUCGCCGAUUUCACAGGAUAUUUUCGAAAUAAAUAAACUAUCGAAAAAGCAAAAAAAAAAAUUUUUUUUUGAAAGUGUCACACUGGUAUAGCCCCUUAAAAUCGAAAAAUAGGCUAAUGUUCACUCAAAAAUUCUUACAACAAAAUAUUAGAUGUUUUUAAAAAGUCAGUCGGUUUUAUAUUUGUUAAAAUCUCUACUUUCUGAUGGCAUAAAUUUGUUGGAAAGUAUAAAAUGUUUGAUUUUAUUAUAAAAUAUACAAUAAAUAUACUACCACUAAUUAUGUUUCUCAAGUACUUGGGCAUAAGUAACUAAUUUAAAAAUAUAUGUUGAAAUAUUAGUGUAAUUUUGUUUUGAAACAAGCUCGAAUCGUGUCUGCCGUUACACGACCACGAUUUGAUCAUCAACUUCUGUGACACGUUCAAUCUGUUUGCAGUCUUAAUGAUAAGAAGAUUCCAAUAGAUUUUCAUUGUAUUUUUUUAAUAUUUUUUAAAACUGCUGCUGCUGAAGUAGGUUGAAAAGAAAUAAAAAAAACACAAAUAAUUUUUAUUACUUAUUAAAUUGUACUCAAAAUAUUAUAUUUUCGACAAAAUAUUUUGCGGACAUAAUAUGCAGAAAUAUUUAUAUAUUUACAUGUUUUAUGCAAUAAUGUUUUUUACAUAUAUUAAUUUCUUAAUGAAUUUUUUUAAUUUAUUCAAAUUUUUUUAAUAACUCUUAAUUAAAUAUUUUGGUUGAAUUAAAACUUUUUAUUUAAAACAAGCACUAAUAAUUUGAAUAUUUCACAAACGUUUCCUUCAUUCUCUCACACAAAAAAAUAAAACUACCAACGUUAGCAAAUGUAAAAAAUAACCACACUUACAUAAGUCGAUGAAUUCUUUGUUAUUGCAAUGAAAAAAAUAGCAACAAUUAUACAUACAUACAUAUUAUUAAAUAUAACAUAAAUUAUAUCAGCUAUGACAUCUGAUAAUAAAAGGUAAAUGUGUAAUUGAAUAAAAAAACGAAAAUGACAGAGCAAAGAAAGCGUUGGAGAGUUCACAAUGUAGAGAGCAGAGAGUGACGGAGUAGACAUGCAAUGAAAUGCAAUGAGCGCUCGUCUCCCAACAUUUGCGUUGCACUGUGUUUAAACGCGAUAAAUUCAAUAAGGAAGCACACAACAACUACAAAACUACGAAACAAUGUAAACAAACAACAAAACAGCCGAUGACAGAUGAAACAAUGUUACUCAAACACUCAAAUACAAUAAAUGAAACAAACGAAAAAUGCACGAAUGCGCACAUUGCAACAAAAAACAAAACAUAAUAAAUAAACGCUGAAGUGCAUGCUCAUACAUGCACAUUUAUGAAUGCGGCGGCGUUAAACGGUUAAUGUAAUACAAUGUUAUAUAGUCGUAAUAAUUAAAUAUGCAAUUGUAAUAAAAAUUGAAAUGCAUUUGAAUUCAAUAAAACGAAAGCUGUGUGGCAUUUGAAUGCCCGUCAAUAAAAAUGCAUAAAUUAAUGAAUUUAUGAUAUGAAAAGUUUUGUUGGCUGCGGAGAACAAAAAUAAUAUUACAAUAAAAAUUAUUGAAAAAGUUUCAGACAAAAACUGUUUUUUAUGUACAAAUGUCAGAAAAAGUAAAUAACACUAAAAAAAAACAAUAAAAAAAUAAUAAUUUAAAUAAAAUGAAGUAAAAUAAAAUGAAAAAUAAUAGCAAAAUGAUAACGCUUUAACUUUAACUUUAAAAAGUAAUCAAAUUCAUUGAAUAUUAUAAAUUAAAUGCUUAUAAUGGUUUUCGUGUCAAACAAUUAUCAAAUACAUAUCACUAUAUGGCCUAUUUUUUUAUUUACAAAAUCGAAAAUGGCAGCAACACGAACACAAGGCGACACACCGUUAAAAUUAGACCGGUAGAGCAACAUUUUGCCUAGAAUAUGUACAUACAUACAUAUGUAUGUAUGUGUGGGUUCGUUGCUGCUGAGUUGAGAAUUUUGCUAAAAUUUUAAUUAGAACUUAUUACUGUACGAUUUUUAACAUUUAAAUAUACAUAUACUAUGUAUAUAUAUAUAACAAAACAAAUGAAAAUUAUGUGUUCUUUAACGGUAAAGUUAUUGACUUUGUACGACGUUAUAUAAAUAAGUUAAGAACUACCACACAAUUGUACGAUAAUAAAAGAAUAAGAUGAGUACAUUGACAAAAGUAGCUCCAAUUAAUUGCAAAUACUGGUUUAAACGAGAGCUGCAUACUUUAAGGCGCUUUAACCCAUGGGGAAGUUAGGAUGCUAGAAUGAUACAUUUUUUUAGCUGUCAUUUUAGUGCUUCUAUUAACUUGAUAAAAGAUAUAUAUAGAAAUGGAAAUAAAGCAAAAUUAAAUAAAUAACAAAAAUAAUUUAAUAAAAAAAGUAAAGUAAAUAAAAAAAAAUUAAUGAAAUACAGAAAAAUAUUAAAAAAAUGCGAAAUGAAAAAAUCAAAUAAAAUGAAAUAAAAUCUGAAAUUAAGUUAAAAAAUAUGAAAGAAUAAUUAAAAAAAAUAAGGAUAUAAAGAAAUAAAUAAAAAAUAAUGACACAUUAAAAUUAAAUUUAAACAAAAAUAAAAUAACAUAAAAUAACGCAAAUUUAAAUAAAUUAAUAAAUAGAUAAACAAAAAUAAAAAUUAUAAAAUAAAGCAAAAUAUAUAAAAACAAAAUUAAAAGCUAAAAUAAAAUAAAAUAAAUGAAUGAAUAAAAAAAAUUAAAUAUUUAAAUAAAAUAAAUCAUUACAAAUAAAAUAAAAUGAUGCAAAUUAAUUUAAAAAAACAAUAAAAAUGAUAAAAAAAAAUAAUUUAAAUAAAAUACAUGAGUAAAUUACUAUAGUUUAAAUAGUUUAAAUAAAAUGAAAUAAAAUAAGACUAGGGAAAAAAACAAAAUAAUAAAUAAAUAAAAUAAAACGAAAUUAAGUAAAAUAAAAUUAAUUAAAAUAAAAUAAAAGAAAAAAUAAAAAAAAUAUAAAAAUGAAACAAAGAAAAGUAAAUAAAAAUAAUAAAAAAUUAAAAUAAAAUAAUACAAAUGAAAAUAAUAUAAGCAAAGACUAUAUAAAAAAAUAAGUAAACAUAAACCAAAUUAGUUAAAGUUAAGGAAAAUAAAAUAAAAAAGUUCAGUCAAAAAAUAAAACAAUUAAAUAAUUUAAAUUAAAAUGAAAUAAAAUUAUAAAAUUAAACUUCAUAAAAUUGAAUGCAUAAAUACAAAUAACAUAAAUUGAAAAAAAAAAUAAAAAGUUAGGUGAAAUGAAAAAAAAUUAAAACUAAAUAAAUAAUCAUAAAAAUACAUCAACUUAAAAGAUAUAUUUAAUAUAAUAAAACCGAAAAAUAAAUAAACAAAUAAUAAUAAUAUUAAACAUUGUAAGCAAAUUUACACAAAAUAAAAUUAAUUAUAAAAUAAAUUAUAUACCACUCAAUAAAUUAAAAUUAAGUACAAAAAGAAAAUUAUGCAAACAAAAAAAAAAAAAUACAAUAAAAAUAAAUAAAUGAGUAAUAAAAUUUAAAUAUAAUUUAAUUAUUUAUUUUUAGAUAAAAAAGUUAUUUGUAAUUUUUUCAAAAAUAUUAUUUGAAAAACAUGAGAACGUAGUUAAAGCCAUACUUAAUACUAAAAAAAUAUAAAAAAAUUAAAUACAUUAUUAUUAUUGAAUAAAAGCAUAAGUUUGUAUAUUACUGUAAACAUAUUUUCACCAAAAAGUCGCAUAAAAGCAUAAGAACUAAACUCCUUGCUUUGAGUAUGCCAGAGAAUUAGAAACGCUUUAAAAAGUAGUGUGCAUUAAUGACAACUUAGAAACGGAAAUUUUUAUUUUUUUUGUAAAAUUUUUAAUAAAUCAAUAAAAACCCGUUAAAGUAGACUUUAUUAGUGUUAAAUUAAGCAGUGCUUAAAAAUACAAUUAAAAACUAAAAAUAAACAGCGAAAUGAAAAACAAAAAAAUAUUUUUUUUCUGUUAAUUUUUUAUGACGUUUUUAAAUUAAUAACAAAAUAUAGCUGAAAUAUUAAUAAUUUGCAAUAGCAAAUUUUAGUUAACUGCUACAGCCAACGUGCACACACACACACAAAAAUAAUAAAUAUAAAAUUAAUAUAUUUGUGGGAAAGUAAAAUUGCCUAGCUAAAUUAGAAAAAUUCUCUAAAAUAGUUUAGAACUUAAUACAAUAAACCGCAAACAGCCGUAACAGAAGGAAAACAUAAAAAAAAUAAGCCUAAGAUAUUUAUAUAGUGAAACAGUCUAAUGAAGGAUAUAGUUAAAGAAGCAGUAAGUGUGAGUCAGAAAAUCAGCGAAAAAUAACAAUAAUAAGUAUUGAAUAACUAAGAGAAAAAUAAGUAAAAUAAAAUUAAAAAUACUAGAAACUGCAAAAAAUGUCAAUAAGAAGAAAUAAUUAAAAAUAAAAGCAAAAAAUAAUAAUAAUAAUGUAAUUAGUUAUUAGAACGAAUAAAUAAAUGCUAAGACAAAUAAUAAUUACUUUCUAAAAUAAGUAAAGUAAUCUCCUGUUUGAGUGUUCAGCAAAAGCAAGCGAUAUUACUUUCGAAAACUUUUGUAAAGGAAAAUCAGGAAAAAUAUUACACAAAAACAAAAAAAAAUACAAAAAUAAAACAAAACAGAAACUAUACACAUAUUAUAUAUGAAUCAAAUAAUAAGAAAAUAUCUUUAAUGAAAUUAUAAUACUAAAAAAAUAAAAAAGCAACAAUACAAUAAGAGCACUAAACACAAAUUACAACUUUGGUAAUACAGUCUACAAAAUACAAUAAUUAACACAGUAAUUUAAAGCAUAAACUAAGUGAAAAUAGACAUUAAAAAUAAAUGUAAAAAUAUUUCAAAUUCAAAACAUGCAAUUUCAAAUACUUAAAAAAUAAACAAAAUCCGUUAUACAGCAUACAGCAAAUACUAAAAACUACUUUGUAAAUUACAAUUAUAAUACAUAAUUCCAUAAGCUAAGCAAAUAUAACGGUUAUGUAGCAAAAGAGUCUUCAAGCCACUCAACAGAACCUAAAACAAAAUCCCGUAAAAAAAUUUCUAAAAUUAUUAAUGCAAUAAGUUUUAGAAAAUUACAAUAAUAAAAAAUAAAAAAAAUAAAAUAAAAUCCACACAAGAACCCCAAUUUAAUUUCAGAAAAUUAUGAAAACCAAACACAAAAAUACCUUUGACAGCAAACGAAGCAAAAAUCCCCUCAAAAUGAUUUCGAAAUAAAAAAUAAAACAAACAAAAAAAGCAUUUGAUUCAAAGUUAUCUAGUGAACAUUUUAAGAUAUAAUCUAAAUCUGCUGCAGCAAGUAAUCCACACAUAAGUAAAUACUCAUUAAAUAAUGUAUAAUUGAUUUAUAUAUACACACAUAAAUAUAUAGAAAUGUGCGUAACUUGAUGCAUAUAUACAUACAUAAUAUAUCAAAGAUCAAUGCUAAUGCUACAACAAAGCUACAAACAAUAAUUAUAAUUACUUAACUGAUAAUGAUUACAUAAAUAUACACACACAAAACACAUACAUACAUGUGUAUUAUGAGCAUAAUACUAAAGAAUUAUUAAGGUAUUGAAAUGUUGGUGAUGGCCAAUCAACUGAAAUAAUUUACUAAAUCAAUAAAAAGAAAUUCAUAUUAUAAUGUACUGUCAA